rnacentral:pre_miRNA from 1 species
GAGACACCCUUAUGGGGCAGGACUCACUUCAGUGGGGCUUUGGUGCUCACUGAGUCUUCCCCUUGAGCGUGUCGUU